GACGAACGCUGGCGGCGUGCCUAAUACAUGCAAGUCGAACGGUCUUUUCUAUGGAAGCUUGCUUCCACUGAGAAGAUAGUGGCGAACGGGUGAGUAACACGUGGGUAACCUGCCCAUAAGAGGGGGAUAACAUCCGGAAACGGGUGCUAAUACCGCAUAGUUUUCUUGAUCGCAUGAUUGAGAAAGGAAAGACGGCCUUUGUGCUGUCGCUUAUGGAUGGACCCGCGGCGUAUUAGUUAGUUGGUGAGGUAACGGCUCACCAAGACGAUGAUACGUAGCCGACCUGAGAGGGUGAUCGGCCACAUUGGGACUGAGACACGGCCCAAACUCCUACGGGAGGCAGCAGUAGGGAAUCUUCCGCAAUGGACGAAAGACUGACGGAGCAACGCCGCGUGAGUGAAGAAGGUUUUCGGAUCGUAAAGCUCUGUUGUCAGAGAAGAACAAGUUGGAGAGUAACUGCUCCAGCCUUGACGGUAUCUGACCAGAAAGCCACGGCUAACUACGUGCCGGCCGCCGCAGUAAGAC
rnacentral:rRNA from 1 species